rnacentral:lncRNA from 1 species
UGGGGAAUCGAAAUUAUGGCUCUAGUAGUUGUUUCAUGCUAUUUGUAAGUCCUGCAAUUUUCAUUUUCAUGAAUUUUAUGUUUGUUUCUCAUUGUUCUACUAUUUCAACCUAUGAAUUCUCACAAUUGUUGUCUCCAAAAUUUGUAGCAGUAUAAUAUCUUAGUUAUUUAUUUUUUUUUUUUUAUGAACAAUUUUAAAGCCCUGUAGAACUCUGCGAUGUUUGACUUGCUACUUCAAGAUGAACAAAUGAUUUACUAUUUGUCAUCCGAUUUCUAUUUUCUCUCUCUUUUAUUAACACAUUGACAUUUCUAACCAAAGCAAAUUAAGUUACUUGUUGAUUUUCUUCAAGUUGAAUAUUACAUGGGUAUAGUAUUUUGCUUAUACUUAUUUAUGGUGACAUAGUUUUGAAAUGUUAAUCUGAUUGUUUAGCAUACACGAGUGGCUAUAUACUAUUUGAAUUCUUUUCACUGCAUAAAUCUCUUUACUUUCGUUGGUUUUUUGUUUGAAUCCACUCCCCAUAUAUCAUUCUUCCUCGUUCCCAUGAUAAUUUUUGACAACUUAUUGCAAAUUCGUUCUUGCUGAUAUGACGUUGAUUCUUUAAAACCUUUCGAAGAAUGUUAUAAUGCAAUAACUCUAAUAUGCUUCAUCUCUUUCUUCAACUAAUUUUUAAUUUAUUGCACAACUUAAGUAUAGCUGUCUAUUCAUUAUUUUAGGUCUUUGCUAGAUGGCAUAGAGUGCUUAAGCUGUUGUUUUGUGCCAAGCAAUAUAGCACAAGAAUAGAAGUUUGGGCAGGAAAAACACUAGUGAGGAAGUCGAAGAGAUAGACAAUCGGAGGUGUUGGUGGAAACAUCUGGCAACGACGACUGCAACUAUUGGUGUAGGCAUUGACUUCUUCCAGCAAUAGAGAUUGAAAAAAACAAAGCUUAUUCUCCUAUUGGGAUCUUCAAUGAGUGGAGGUCAAUGGGUUAGCUAAGUUGCUAGAUGAUGUGGCGGUGAAUUGAAUUAAAGAUACUUGAGGUUUUGAAUGGUGUUUUGUCGGUAAAUUGACUCAAAACGCUUGGCAAUAAAUGGAG